CAUCCAGACACCAUCAGAUCCAGGCUGACUGCAAGCUAUUGUUUUGAAAUGCAACAUAGAUUAUGACAUCACUUAGAACUGUUCAGCUAAAAUUGUUUCAUGUUUCUUAUAUAGCACAGAGGAAGUUGUAUCCUUUGGUCCCUCCUAAGUUUCUGUUAAGAUUAUUAGUCCAGUGAGGAUGAAAGCAACAAAGACUCUCUGCUAUACUUGGUGUAGCUUGAGCACAGAAGACCUCAAAACCUGCCUCCACAGGGACACACUUCCUCCAACAAGGCCACGCCUAUUCCACCAUGGCACAAGAAAGCCUUUCUUCUAUUGGUCACUUGGCUUCUUUCAGUACCACACAGCUUUCAUCCCUUAGGCCCCCAGGCACAGAAAUACUGGAUGCUGAGAGUAAGACACAUGGAUGAGAGGAAACCCAUUUGCGCAUGUACAGCAUAAUAUUCUGAGAAUACAGAGAUCACAUUGUCUAUCAGCCAGUUGCUUCAUUGGUUUGUGAGCAAAGCAUAUUGACUAACCUUCCAAGAGGAUAUUGGAUAUGUUUUCAAAUGGACAACGGACAUCAUAACCAAAUCAGCAUAGAGGCCAGCACAGAAGAUAAAGACAAUGGCUAUAGAUGUAAUAUGUCAGCAGUCAAAUCCUGAUUGUCAUGUCUUAGCUGUAUGAGCACGGACAUUCACUUUAAUUAGAUAAGGCCUGCACCAGCCUCAUAUGCCAGUCAUGACUCAUAUGUAUUUUGCGUACCUGUGUAUAAAAUAUCACACACUAAAAUGUACCA